GAUGAACGCUAGCGGCAGGCUUAACACAUGCAAGUCGAGGGGUAUUGGUUUUCGGACCAAGAGACCGGCGCACGGGUGCGUAACGCGUAUGCAAUCUACCUUUUGCAGAGGGAUAGCCCAGAGAAAUUUGGAUUAAUACCUCAUAGUAUAGUACUUUGGCAUCAAGGAACUAUUAAAGUCACAACGGCGAAAGAUGAGCAUGCGUCCCAUUAGCUAGUUGGUAAGGUAACGGCUUACCAAGGCUACGAUGGGUAGGGGUCCUGAGAGGGAGAUCCCCCACACUGGUACUGAGACACGGACCAGACUCCUACGGGAGGCAGCAGUGAGGAAUAUUGGACAAUGGGCGCAAGCCUGAUCCAGCCAUGCCGCGGUGCAGGAUGACGGUCCCUAUGGAUUGUAAACUGCUUUUAUACAGGAAGAAACACUCCGACGUGUCGGAGCUUGACGGUACUGUAAGAAUAAGGAUCGGCUAAACUCCGUGCCAGCAGCC
rnacentral:rRNA from 1 species